rnacentral:rRNA from 1 species
GACGAACGCUGGCGGCGUGCUUAACACAUGCAAGUCGAACGGAAAGGCCCUGCUUUUGUGGGGUGCUCGAGUGGCGAACGGGUGAGUAACACGUGAGUAACCUGCCCUUGACUUUGGGAUAACUUCAGGAAACUGGGGCUAAUACCGGAUAGGAGCUCCUGCUGCAUGGUGGGGGUUGGAAAGUUUCGGCGGUUGGGGAUGGACUCGCGGCUUAUCAGCUUGUUGGUGGGGUAGUGGCUUACCAAGGCUUUGACGGGUAGCCGGCCUGAGAGGGUGACCGGCCACAUUGGGACUGAGGUACGGCCCAGACUCCUACGGGAGGCAGCAGGGGGGAAUAUUGCACAAUGGGCGGAAGCCUGAUGCAGCAACGCCGCGUGCGGGAUGACGGCCUUCGGGUUGUAAACCGCUUUCGCCUGUGACGAAGCGUGAGUGACGGUAAUGGGUAAAGAAGCACCGGCUAACUACGUG